UAGAAAAAGGGAAUAUAUUUAAAAUACAAUAAAGUAUACUUUUUUUCACUAGGGAUUGUUAAGCGUGUUUGCUAAUUGCUCUAUAUUGCAUCUCAUGUGAGUGAAAGUUUGCUGGAAGGGGAGAGAUUAAGGGGCCGUUUACACAACACCAUUUUCAACUAAAAACGGAAAACUUUUUAUGCGUUUUGGCUCUUCAUUUACACGACAAUGGCGGGUUGGGGGUGUGAAAAAAAACAUUUGAAAAUUAUACCAUUAUCGUCUCCUUGUCAAAAAUGUGAAUUUGUGAAAAUGGUGAUGUCAUUUCAUGUUUCUUCACAAAGUGACAUCCACAUCUACUGGCCUGGCAUGCAUAAUACCGUUUUUUUAGUAAUUUUCGCGGAUCCGUGAGAACGGGGAUCAUUUUGAAAACAUUGUCUUCUGUACGCAAAAAACGCAAAGGUAAAACUUUUGUCAUUGUUGUCAUGUAAAUGCACCUUCAAACACGUCUGGCCAUUAGACCUUUAUUGCCCUCACAGCAGUUUUAGUUUUCAGUUGUUUCUGACUAAAGAUUACGAGGGUACGUUUUUUUUUGUUACUGUUGUUCUUGUUUAAACAAUGAUGUGCAUGAAUAAAUCAUUUGUAAUACACACUGCAACAUUCCACUAGUCUACUACAGAUACACUACUUUUCAGAUACACUCUAUGUACAGAUAUUAUUAUUUUAUAUAAAAUCAGGAAUUAUUAGAUGGUAAUCUAAACAAAUUGUGAAUUAUGUUAAGCAUUUCAAUGUUUAUUGUGUAAGAAAUAUUUUACAUCGGAUGGAGGAUGCCAUGAUCGGAGCUGUGUUUGUUGUGCGUUUCCUGAUAACGGAGAUGGAAUGAAAACGCUUAAUUUACGUAACUGAAAGAGCAAAAAGUGGGGCUAAGAGAUGAAAUCUCUAUGACAACUUUCAGUAUUACAUAUCAUUUUUUUAAAAUGCCGGGUGCCGGUGUUUGACAUGCGUUUGACCAAUUAACAUACACUUACAUCACUGGUAGUUCCUAUAGUGUUGGUUUAAACCGUACUCUGAAGUAGGAGCUAAUUCAGUUCCCCCAAAAGGAGUUCCUGGAACUAAAAUCGUUCCUAGUUCCUGCGGUGCGAACACGGCAAAAUCCAGGUAUGCUUCAGCCAAUAAUUCUAGGAACUAUGAAAAGGUUCCUCCGGUGAAAAAGCCCCUUGUGAGAUCUAUUACCUCCUUUAAUUGCUUUAAGCUAUCUUUAUUUUCUUAUCUUAAAAUAACUUGUUUUUGAUUUUGUUUUUAAGAAUUUGAGGAUUUUUUUUUGUUAUUAAUUGGUCUCAAGUUGAUGUUACUGAUGUAUGAUGUUGACCUUUUGUAAUUCAGCUGUGGUUUGUGGGUGUGGGGAACAGGUUGAGCAUUUCAUUUGUUUUGUAUAUUUGUAGUGUGUAUAUGUUUGGUGUGGUUGUUUUGUUUGUGUUGUAAUAUUUCGUUUUUGUGAUUUCAGGACCCCCUUGAAAAUUAGAUGUUACAUCUCAAGCGGCUAUCCUUGCAUUAAAUUCAAAUUCAAAUGUAUGAAUAUGUACUAUUAAAUCCAGAGGUCCAAAAGUGCCUAUAGUUGAAGAAACAUCAUAUAAAUAUACAGUAUGGCUAGUAUUAUACUACUAUGCUAUUCUGAAUUAAGUUUUUAUUACCAGGAGUGUUUGUUGUCUCUAAGUGGGAGCUUGCUUUGAAAGGGCAAGUGCUUUGGAUGCAUGCAUCAUGAAAACAAUUGAAAGAAUUUUUUUGCAAUAUAAUUAUAGUAUUAUGAAUAUAAUUAUGUGAAGGAAUUAAUUAAAAUUUCUUAGAGAAACCCCCGAGUCGAAAACACUUUGUAAUUAGCUCUGUCAUUUUUACCAAGGCUGUGCAAGAAUAGCUCUGACAUUAAACAUACGUUUGUGAAACAGCAUAUUUACCUGACCUCCUCAGGGAAAACUGGUCCCAUCCACAUAUGGCUUAUGCGUGACAAACACUUCCACACCAGGGUCGUGUGCUUUAAGCACUUUAGAUGCACAAACUCACCCACAUGCUCGCAUAAGCAUAUAUUGACAUCCACUUACUCACUCCAAUAACUCAUCAGGAUAUCAAGCAAAUGAGUCUGAAACUUUUCUCCCCACUGUGUGAUUUUGUGUGUGUGGUGCGUCAGAUGGUAGCAGAACGGACGUGAUUCCUGGACUGGACCCAGAUGGCUGCUGGGUCAGGGAGGAUACUCUCCAGAUGGUCAGGUGGCAGUAGCUGAACAGCCAAUCAGAACGAUCAGAUGGCCCGAAGAACCGACAAGCUCCGACGCCGAUUCAACAUGUCGAAUCGGCCGGAAAAAAGCCAACAAGGACCAACUUCAGCCGACGCAAAUCCCUGCAGCACUCACUGCCCUCCCUUCUCUCUAUUACACACACACAGAGAGAGAGAGAGAGAGAGAGACGUAUCCCUUUGGCGUAACAAAGGAUCAAGUGUUCCACUGGACUGCCCAGACCAUUACUGACAAAACCGAGCACAAAAAAGAAAAGAAAAAAAUAUUGAAACAAAGGACAGAGAAAGAGGGGGAUGGAACAUGAAGUAUAAAAGGAAAUAGGAAAAGAACUAUAAAACGCAGGAAGGAGUUUUAUAUGUGUAUAUAUACGUAGAGAGUGUGGAAAGAAGGAGAUAGCAGCAUAGAGAAAAGCUUAUUCCCCAUCCUUCAUGUGACCUUAAGCAACAAGACUGCACUUUUUAGCUCUCUCAUUCUCUCAGUCACACACAAUGGGACGUGGGGAGGCCAGGCUUUGAUGUUGGCACAAUAAUCUCAGUCCCGGGAGAACGUUAGAUAGAGAAGGAGGAGCAAAGGAUAGCCCUGAAGGGAGUAUAGAAAUACACAAGUUUGCGUGUGUGUGUGUGGACUGUAGACUGACUCAAAUGAUGGAGACAGGCACGCACAGACCCAGAUAAUGACCCAGCUGCCAGUAAUCACUUUUAAGGUCAAGGUAUGCAACGGCAUUUCCUUUUUCCAUUUAAUGGAGCCAAUUUAGCAUGCAUAUAUACAAUUAUCUCAUUCCAAAACAGUGAGCUGCCUAUGCAGGCAACAUUUGAAGGCAUUUCAGGCACACUUCUGACAGAAAAUGGCUGUUCAAAAAUGUAUCUGAAUUGAUCAAAAUUCAAUGGCAGCAGCAGGUGAUCCAUAAUGCACCGCAUCGAGCUCAGUGAAAAAUAAAUCCAAAAUGAUGGAUAAGGCAAGAUAUAUGUUAUUUAUAGAUUAAAUUCAGUACUCAAAAUGUUUAUAUGUACAUGUGAACAUGUAUAUGUAUUUUUUUUUUGUGCUAUGUACUUUUUAUUAAUGUUGCACUGAAAUUGUUUUUUUUUGUUGUUUUUUCAGAAACACCAAAAUUAAAGUUUUCUUUUAGCCAAAAACCAAACGACAAAUAAAGUUUCUGUAAUUAACUAUGGGUAAAUGCAAAAGUUGAAUCUUGGUAUGCUGUUCUGUGUGUUGUGUUCUCAAGUG